GACGAACGCUGGCGGCGUGCCUAAUACAUGCAAGUAGAACGCAGUUGCGAACGGGGGAGUAACGCGUAGGGAACUGCCCUAAAGGGGGGGAUAAAUAAUGGAAACGAUAGCUAAAACCGCCUACUGGGAGAUGGACCUGAGUAGUAUUAGCUAGUGGGUGAGGUUAAGGGUCACCAAGGCGACGAGACAGAACCGACCUAAGAGGGGGAGCUGCCACAAUGUGAAUGUGAAACGGCCCAGAGUCCUCCGGGAGGGAGCAGUAGGGAAACUUCGGCAAAGGAGGGAAGUCUGACCGGGCAACGCCGCGUGAGUGAAGAAGGUUUUCGGGUCGUAAAGCGCUGUUGUUAGAGGAGCGGUAACUAACCAGAAAGGGACGGCUAACUACGUGCCAGCAGCCGCGGUAAUAC
rnacentral:rRNA from 1 species